AACGAACGCUGGCGGCGUGCUUAACACAUGCAAGUCGAACGACAACCGAUUGAAGCUUGCUUCUAUCACUCUUAGUGUCGAACGGGUGAGUAAAGCGUAAUCAACCUGCCCUUUAGAGGGGGACAACAGUUGGAAACGACUCCUCAUACCGCCUACGAACUAAUCUCUGCAUCGAGGGAAGCUUAAGAGUUGCCUCUAUUUAAUGGCUAUCACUUAAGUAAGCUAUUUCGUCUGAUUAGCUAGUAGGAGGGGUAACGGCCCAACAAGGCGGUGAAUAGUAGCCGGGUUGAGAGGAUGAACGGCCAAAUUGGGACUGAGACACGGCCCAGACUCCUACGGGAGGCAGCAGUGGGGAAUCUUCCGCAAUGGACGAAAGUCUGACGGAGCAACGCCGCGUGAGUGAUGACGGCCUUCGGGUUGUAAAGCUCUGUUAAUCGGGACGAAAGGCCUUCUUGCGAACAGUUAGAAGGAUUGACGGUACCGGAAUAGAAAGCCACGGCUAACUACGUG
rnacentral:rRNA from 1 species